rnacentral:rRNA from 1 species
UUCCUACGGGAGGCAGCAGUGGGGAAUUUUGGACAAUGGGCGAAAGCCUGAUCCAGCCAUGCCGCGUGCAGGAUGAAGGCCUUCGGGUUGUAAACUGCUUUUGUACGGAACGAAAAGACUCUGGUUAAUACCUGGGGUCCAUGACGGUACCGUAAGAAUAAGCACCGGCUAACUACGUGCCAGCAGCCGCGGUAAU